UUAAAAUAAAGUAAAAAUGAAAUCUUUCAAGAGAGAAUACGUCGUGCUAUUGAUGUUCGUGUUGCUAGUAUCAUCAAGCGGCUCGUUAUUUAGUAGGGAUAGGGUUUGGGUACGGAUAUACAGCGGUGCAAAAAGUAAAUCUCAUUUUCUCAACCUUCAUUGCAGAUCAGGAGAUGAUGAUUUUGGUAAUAAAGAAUUAAAAUCUAAAGAGUUUUUUGAGUUUUCCUUUAAACCUAACUUUUUUGGAAAGACUGCAUUUUAUUGUGACUUUAAAUUUGAUGACUUUAGUAUAACUAAAGUAGAUGUUUGGGGCGGUAAAAAAAAUAUCAAUUGUGAGUUUUGUUAUUGGCAGUUUCAAGCGGAUGGUCUUUGUCUUAAUUAUAUACCUGGUAACGAGAAAUUUGUUGAUUGUCGUGUUAAAUGGAAUGUAACUAGCCCACAUUUUAAUUAGUAUUGGUGAAGCAGAGUUACAAAUUGAUCACUUUUUGGAUUUUUCUUUGAACCUAAUAUAUUUGGAAGGAUAUAUAUUUUUUUGAAAGAAUAAUUCAUCAAAAACAAAUUUGUUAUUAUUUUAAUUCUGAUUUCAAUUGUAUUUCUAUAAUUAUUUGGUACAUUUUUAAUACUAGUUUCGCAUUACGUGCUAUGCACGUGGCUCGUAAGAUGACUCGUGACUCGUAAUGUAACUCAUCAAUUUAUAUAUUAAUUUAAUGCAUUAUAAUUAUAUCAA